rnacentral:lncRNA from 1 species
CUGAAAAGAUUAAAAGUGGAACUGAGGGAGAGUAAGUUGUGGGGAUGGCUUCUGCCUUUGGAACUCUUUGGACAAUGCGUCUUGUCCUGACGUGUUCAUGGCUUACUCUGUUGGGGAGCACUUUGUAAUAACCGGGAAUGGCUCCAUACACCUGCCUCUAAUGACUCUCUUGGAAAUUACAUCUUAUUUUAAAGGCUUGGUAUGCCUUUGAUAGCUUAGCUUUAAGACUGCUUCCGAAAUAUUAAACUAGGAAAGAAGUCAUAAACUAGCUAAUAGAAACUUUGCAGAUAAUGAAAGAAGUGGAAGCAGCUUAGAGCAAGACUGAUCAGAGCAAGACCGGCCUGUCCACUUUCUAAGAAACAGCAACAGGAAGAUGUCUGGCCAUUGAUUGAUUGAGACACAGAGCAGCAAGCAGGUGAAGCAACAGGGUCAGAGCAGAAAGUUACUGAAAAGUUUUGUUGUUUUUCAUUAUUUUUAUUUUUUGCACGUGUGGCCGGUUUUACUUUUGUUAAGUUAAGGAAUCAGCCAGCAGAGGGCUCUCAAAGGAACUUGAGUUCUCUUAAAUAUUCAGGUGAUAUCUUUGAGCUUUUAGUUCUUUUCUGUACUAAACGUUUUGAAAAGGGUAACCAAAACGAGUGAGCUGGUGACACAAUAGGCUAAAGCCUCAGCGUGCAUCACUAAUACUGAAUCUCAGCGAAAGGUCAGUAGGUGGCACAUGUCUGCAGCCACAGGUCCUGUUUCCUGUCCCACUUGUAGACAGUGCUGAGGUUCUUGUAGGUGGCACAUGUCUGCAGCACACAGGUCCCGUUUCCUGUACCCACUUGUAGACAGUGCUGAGGUUCUUGUAGGUGGCACAUGUCUGCAGCACACAGGUCCCGUUUCCUGUACCCACUUGUAGACAGUGCUGAGGUUCUUGUAGGUGGCACAUGUCUGCAGCCACAGGUCCUGUUUCCUGUACCCACUUGUAGACAGUG